rnacentral:rRNA from 1 species
CAAAAACAUGUCUUUUUGAGUUAAUUUUAAAGUUUAGCCUGCCCAAUGAAAUAGUUUAAUGGCCGCAGUAAUUUGACUGUGCAAAGGUAGCAUAAUAAUUAGUCUUUUAAUUGAAGGCUUGUAUGAAUGGUUGGACGAAGUAUAAUCUGUUUCAUUUAAAUUUAUUAUAGAAUUUUAUAUUUUAGUAAAAAAGCUAAAAUUUUUUUAAAAGACGAGAAGACCCUAUAAAUCUUUAUAAUUUACAUUAUUUUUAUUUUUUGGAUUUAAUUUAUUUUAAUAAUUUAAAUUAUUUUAUUGGGGUGAUAUUAAAAUUUAAUUAACUUUUAAUUUAUUUUAACAUUAAUUUAUGAUUUAUUGAUCCAUUAAUAAUGAUUAUAAGAAUAAGUUACUUUAGGGAUAACAGCGUAAUUUUUUUAGAGAGUUCUUAUUGAUAAAAAAGUUUGCGACCUCGAUGUUGGAUUAAGAUAUAAUUUUAGGUGUAGUUGCUUAAGUAUUGAGUCUGUUCGACUUUUAAAUUCUUACAUGAUCUGAGUUCAAACCGGA